UAGCUCAGAGGGUCAGAGCACUGGCUGCAUUUCCAGAGGACCUGGGUUCAAUUCCCAG
rnacentral:tRNA from 1 species